rnacentral:rRNA from 1 species
UACGGGGGGGGCAAGCGUUGUUCGGAAUUACUGGGCGUAAAGGGCUCGUAGGUGGCCAACUAAGUCAGACGUGAAAUCCCUCGGCUUAACCGGGGAACUGCGUCUGAUACUGGAUGGCUUGAGUUUGGGAGAGGGACGCGGAAUUCCAGGUGUAGCGGUGAAAUGCGUAGAUAUCAGGAGGAACACCAGUGGCGAAGGCGGUGCUCUGGGCCGGAACUGACGCUGAGGAGCGAAAGCGUGGGGAGCGAACAGG